GAAUAAUGGUGGACAGACGGUGAUGUUUACAUAAAUACCUUAUUACAGAGAAUGUCAGAAGCCAUCAUGUAUAAUUAGUGAAGCAAAAUAAUCUUUUGAAAUACAGUUGAAGGAUUACCUCAUGUCAUGGAGUACAUUUAUGGGGAUCUCAAUUGGGGUCAGACAAAAGCCAAGGCUUUGAGAAUGGAAACAUUACCUCUUACAGGCACCAAGUUGAUUAAAGGAAUACCAAAUUCAAACAUGUUAAUAUUCAAGAGGCCCUCCCUUCUUGGAAUCAAGGGAAUAUUAAAGGGUUUGGGGGGCUUGUGUGCUAUUUGAGAUGUAAAGGCUCUAGGCUUUACCAGCCCCACUUCUGAGGGUUUACAAUUUUACUGCACAGAGAACAGAGAGUGACAUUUAAACUCAAGUGAUGUGACUUUUUCUACCAAGCUGAAUUCAUUUCCCUAAUAGCUGUAGUCACUGACAAUCUAUGCUUCCACAAAAGCUUUGGGAUGAGUACUGUGACUUCAACUGUUUAAAUCGCCAUUCUCAUUUUGGCUGUAGAGAUAAAGACCUUGGCAAACAGGGUAAAAAUAAAAUUCUGGCCUCUCUGUGGUCAUGUAGGGUGCAUAUUCUCUGUAACCAGAUCAACAUCCAUUAAGAAGACACGAAUAUUCUGCAUUCAUUGAAUUACAACCAUCUUUGUGCCAUUCCUGGGACAUUUGUGAACCAGGAUAUUUAAAGUAUGACUUUUUUUUCCUCAAACUAUUUUAGAGUAUGACUAGUUUGGUAUUUAAUUGUUGUAGAAUAAAUAUCAACUUAGAUACCUUUCCCAUCAUAUUGAGUCUUCCAGGCUGCUGAAUUUCGACCUCAGAGAUAUCGUGCGAAAGGAGGUUUCUAUGGGAAGGAAGAAAUAAACUCACAAGGUGCUUUCACUGACUGAGAUGUGAUGUGAUGGAGUUAUUUAAAGCACAUUAUUCUUCUGAUGGAUUUUUUUCAUUUGAGGGGCAUAUCACAGAUUCUUUAUGGGAAUAUUUCAUUGUUAUGAUCAGUUGUUUUUUUCUUAUUCUGAGUGGUAGAAAAUAGUAAAAGACCAUAAUAUUUAAAAUAAGUAAAGCAAAUGUGUAACUAACACUCAGGAGCAUGCUAUUUUAAAACUAAGUCUGUAUGAUUGAAAACAAAUUAAUCCAAGCAAACGAUCAAACAAAUUGAUUUUAUACAAUGCAGAGAAAUACUCAGUUAUUUAUUUAUUUAUUUAUUUUCUUUAAUACUUUUCUUGUUCUAUAAAAGGUUUAGUCUUUGGCAAAAAAAAAAAAAAAAAAAAAAAA
rnacentral:lncRNA from 1 species